rnacentral:lncRNA from 1 species
GGCCCUGGCGACGGACGCCCCCGGCAGGUAGUUGUUGUUGCCGACAUCCAGUAUGGAGGACCCGAACACGUACAUCGCCGUCGCCGGCGACCGAGCUCCGGCGGCGACGGUGCGAUGAGCACCUGCACACAUAUCACAAGACGCAGCAGAAGACCUUCCAUAAUUUGCUUAGCUAACUGUGAGAGGAAAACAGUUUGAUGACUGAUAAGCCGACUGAAUAAGCUAAAGCGAACAGAUCCUGCUACUGCUUCCAUUGAUGCUACUGCCUGCCUACUUUUCUGUCUAGUGCCUCUCUUGCCUAUUGAUUGGCGUGACUUGCAGGUCGGACAAAAUAAAUGAUGGCGAAGGGACAGGCGCGACAAGCGCGCCCACACAGAUGCAGAUGCAGACGCAUGACACUGGCAAUUUUCGAUCCGUUCAUUCGAGAAAGCUAUCACUCACUCUCUCGAGUGAUUCGCAGCUCUCCCUCGCUCGAUUUUUCUUCCUUCCCAUCUGGGCAGGAUUUCCCAUUUCAUCUCUGUCGAACUCCGGUGAAAUUAGAAAUUCAUAGGCUAGAGGUUCGUUGAAACCGCCCAGGAUCGAUCAGGUCGAGCAGCAACUACUCUCACGAACUCUCCGGACAAGAGAAGUUUUUGCGGCAACCGAGGCCCUUUUUUCUAUGUAUUCAACUCAAUCAAAAAACAAACUAUUACACGAUGCUCAGUGCAUUGCUACACCUCAGUAGUUUUAUACAUCAUCUUAUACAGUACCACAUAAAAUUUUUGCUGAUGUGGAAGAGAGAGAAUGAUGAGAAAAGAAGGUUGUUGUUUCGCGAAACAACCACCUCAUAGGUUAGAUUUUAGAACUAUGAGACCACUACUCCACCGUUAUAUGAGUUAUGGUUGACAUGCAACUUAUAAUAUUUUUUUUUCUCUAUGCACAAUUAAGAAAAUAGAAUUACUAUAAGACAACAUCCUAUUGUACAGAUUGUUUGUUUAAUUAUUUUAAAAUUACAUGUCAAUGCAUGAGACCACCUAUUAGACAACAUCGUGCUGAGCCAUGUGACGACUUGACACAACGCCCGAGCAACUUCCUGUGGCCGGCUUCUCACGCACAGGCCCACACAAUAUCCACAUGCACAGCCACUAGCUCUUGCAUGCCACACCUGUGUGACGCCCCUCUAGCUAACAAAAAGUAGACUUACUCUGCUAACACAUGCAACACACGUACGCGUUUGCUAACUAACCAGCUAACUAAACGUGCAUAUGUGACUAACAAAAGACCAUGCACCGAUGAACAAACUAACUCUGGCCACAACGUGAACUCAACACGUUUCCGCCGGCCAUAUGCUAAUGCAGAACGUUUUAACGAAUUAAUGUGACAAACACAUCUAUCCUAUAUGCAAGAACUAAAUAUGCCCCUAGAUUAUUUCUAACAAGGUUCAGAUUAAUUUUUGGGAUUGAAAGCUCAUCUUAAAUAUGCCAUAUGCUAAUGCAUAACGUUUUAAUGAGUGUCGUUUUAACAAGUCAAUAUUAUUUCUAACAAGGUUCAGAUUUUCGGGAUUGAGAGCUCACCGACGCCCCUAGAGGGAAAGGUAACUGGUGGAGGGAACACGUACAUCGCCGUCGCCGGCGGCCGAGCUCCGACGGCGACGGUGCCGAUGAGCACCUGCACACAUAUCACAAGACGCAGCAGAAGACCUCCCAUAAUUUGCUUAGCCAACUGUGAGAGGAAAACAGUUUGAUGACUGAUAAG